rnacentral:rRNA from 1 species
GGAUUAGGCAUGCAAGUCGCACGGGAAAGGUUUCUUCGGAAGCCGAGUACAGUGGCGAACGGGUGAGUAAUGCAUAGACAACUCGCCCUUGAGAUGGGGACAACGCCUCGAAAGGGGUGCUAAUACCCAAUGCCGCCUUGGGCCCGCGGGUCCAGGGUGAAAGGAGGCCUCUGAUUCAAGCUUCCGCUCAAGGAGAGGUUUAUGUCCUAUUAGCUAGUUGGCGGGGUAACGGCCCACCAAGGCUGCGAUGGGUAGCCGACCUGAGAGGGUGACCGGCCACAUUGGGACUGAGACACUGCCCAGACUCCUACGGGAGGCUGCAGUCGAGAAUCUUCCGCAAUGCGCGCAAGCGUGACGGAGCGACGCCGCGUGGGUGAUGAAGGCCUUCGGGUUGUAAAACCCUGUCAGCUACUACGAAACACGGGCGAUGAACAAUCGUCCCGUCUGACUUAAGUAGCAGAGGAAGCACCGGCUAACUACGUGCCAGCAGCCGCGGUAAUACGUAGGGUGCAAACGUUGUUCGGAAUCACUGGGCAUAAAGGGCGCGUAGGCGGUCUGAUAAGUCAGGUGUGAAAUCCCUCGGCCUAACCGAGGAACUGCAUUUGAUACUGUCGGGCUAGAGUACAGGAGGGGAGAGUGGAAUUCCUGGUGGAGCGGUGAAAUGCGUAGAUAUCAGGAGGAACGCCGGCGGCGAAAGCGACUCUCUGGCCUGUUACUGACGCUGAGGCGCGAAAGCUAGGGGAGCAAACGGGAUUAGAUACCCCGGUAGUCCUAGCCCUAAACGAUGGGCACUAAGUAGAGGGGUUUU